rnacentral:snRNA from 1 species
GAGUGUAUCUAGCCCUUUAUACACU